rnacentral:rRNA from 1 species
CGCUGACGAGUGGCGGACGGGUGAGUAACGCGUAGGAAUCUGCCUGGCAGCGGGGGACAACCCCGGGAAACCGGGGCUAAUACCGCAUAUCCCCCACGGGGGAAAGACCGGGACCUUUUCGGAGGCCGGUCGCUGCCGGAUGAGCCUGCGUUGGAUUAGUUUGUUGGUGGGGUAAAGGCCUACCAAGGCGAUGAUCCAUAGCUGGUCUGAGAGGGUGAUCAGCCACACUGGGACUGAGACACGGCCAGACUCCUACGGGAGGCAGCAGUGGGGAAUAUUGGACAAUGGGCGCAAGCCUGAUCCAGCAAUGCCGCGUGUGUGAAGAAGGCCUUCGGGUUGUAAAGCACUUUCAAUCGGGAAGAAAAGCGUGCGGUUAACAGCGGCGCGUCUUGACGGUACCGAUACAAGAAGCACCGGUAACUCCGUGCCAGAGCCGCGGGUAAUACGGAGGGUGGCNAAGCGUUAAUCGGAAUUACUGGGCGUAAAGCGCACCGCAGGCGGUUGGGUUAAAGUCCGAUGUGGAAAGCCCGGGCUCAACCUGGGAACUGGCUUUGAUACUGGGCGCUAAAAAAGGAAAAAACGAAUCCCGAUGUACGCAAUGCNUAAGAUCACGACCUCAGAAGGGUUCUGGCCAACUGCCGAACGGGGGAGCACAGGGAUCGAUACCCCGGGAAGUCCAGGGGNAUUCCAGCACAUGGGGGCGACAAGGGACCAGUCGACCAGAGGGUAGUUGGUUUAAUANGGCCCACGAGGGACUCGGAGUGUCCGGGAAUGACCCCACACCAUAAGGAUCAGGGAGGGACUGAGACC